rnacentral:rRNA from 1 species
AAAUAAACAUGGAAAGGCUGCCCGCGGCUGGUGUUUCCCCUUCUCGGGAGGCGCCAGUUGGCGGACGCUGGACUAUUUUAUUACCCUUGUCUUUUGCGCACUUGUUGUUUCCUGGGCGGGUUCGCCCGCCACCAGGACCACACCAUAAACCUUUUGUAUGCAGUUGCAAUCAGCGUCAGUACAACAAAUGUAAAAUCAUUUACAACUUUCAACAACGGAUCUCUUGGUUCUGGCAUCGAUGAAGAACGCAGCGAAAUGCGAUACGUAGUGUGAAUUGCAAAAUUCAGUGAAUCAUCGAAUCUUUGAACGCACAUUGCGCCCUUUGGUAUUCCAAAGGGCAUGCCUGUUCAAGCGUCAUUUGUACCCUCAAGCUUUGCUUGGUGUUGGGCGUUUUUUUUUUUUGUCUUGGGGGCCUGCCCCUAAAGACUCGCCUUAAAAAGAUUGGCAGCCGGCCUACUGGUUUCGCAGCGCAGCACAUUUUUGCGCUUGCAACCAGCCCUAAAGAGGACGGCACUCCAUCAAGUCUCUUUAUUCACUUUUGACCUCGGAUCAGGUAGGGAUACCCGCUGAACUUAAGCAUAUCAAUAAGCGGAGGAAAAGAAACCAACAGGGAUUGCCUUAGUAACGGCGAGUGAAGCGGCAACAGCUCAAAUUUGAAAUCUGGCUCUUUUAGGGUCCGAGUUGUAAUUUGCAGAGGGCGCUUUGGCUUUGGCAGCGGUCCAAGUUCCUUGGAACAGGACGUCACAGAGGGUGAGAAUCCCGUACGUGGUCGCUAGCUAUUGCCGUGUAAAGCCCCUUCGACGAGUCGAGUUGUUUGGGAAUGCAGCUCUAAAUGGGAGGUAAAUUUCUUCUAAAGCUAAAUAUUGGCCAGAGACCGAUAGCGCACAAGUAGAGUGAUCGAAAGAUGAAAAGCACUUUGGAAAGAGAGUCAAACAGCACGUGAAAUUGUUGAAAGGGAAGCGCUUGCAGCCAGACUUGCUUGCAGUUGCUCAUCCGGGCUUUUGCCCGGUGCACUCUUCUGCAGGCAGGCCAGCAUCAGUUUGGGCGGUGGGAUAAAGGUCUCUGACACGUUCCUUCCUUCGGGUUGGCCAUAUAGGGGAGACGUCAUACCACCAGCCUGG